rnacentral:rRNA from 1 species
UACGAAGGGGGCUAGCGUUGCUCGGAUUUACUGGGCGUAAAGGGCGCGUAGGCGGAUGUUUAAAUCGGGGGUGAAAGCCCAGGGCUCAACCCUGGAACUGCCUUCGAUACUGGACAUCUUGAGUACGGGAGAGGUGAGUGGAACUCCGAGUGUAGAGGUGAAAUUCGUAGAUAUUCGGAAGAACACCAGUGGCGAAGGCGACUCACUGGCCCGUUACUGACGCUGAGGCGCGAAAGCGUGGGGAGCAAACAGG